UAACACAUGCGUGAGCGCACUAAACACCUAAAAUUGUAAUACACACCAGUCAGCAAAGUUUUAACAAAACAAAACUUUCAACAACGGAUCUCUUGGUUCUCGCAUCGAUGAAGAGCGCAGCGAAUUGCGAUACCUAAUGUGAAUUGCAGCCAUCGUGAAUCAUCGAGUUCUUGAACGCACAUUGCGCCCCCCGGUAUUCCGAGGGGCAUGCCUGUCUGAGCGUCGUUUCCUUCUUGCGCAAGCAGAGUUGAGGACUUUGCGGAGUCUUUGAAACGGAACGUCGUGGACGAAGUGAACUAAACAUUAGAGCGCUUUGGCCGCCGAACUAUUUUCGGGAGUUUGGUUUUUUUUUCCUUUUGGGGAGAAAGAGACCCGGCUCUGGAAAACUAAGCUCGACCUCAAAUCAGGUAGGAAUACCCGCUGAACUUAACCAUA
rnacentral:rRNA from 1 species